AUUGAACGCUGGCGGCAGGCUUAACACAUGCAAGUCGAGCGGAGAUGAGGUGCUUGCACCUUAUCUUAGCGGCGGACGGGUGAGUAAUGCCUAGGAAUCUGCCUAUUAGUGGGGGACAACAUUCCGAAAGGAAUGCUAAUACCGCAUACGCCCUACGGGGGAAAGCAGGGGAUCUUCGGACCUUGCGCUAAUAGAUGAGCCUAAGUCGGAUUAGCUAGUUGGUGGGGUAAAGGCCUACCAAGGCGACGAUCUGUAGCGGGUCUGAGAGGAUGAUCCGCCACACUGGGACUGAGACACGGCCCAGACUCCUACGGGAGGCAGCAGUGGGGAAUAUUGGACAAUGGGCGGACGCCUGAUCCAGCCAUGCCGCGUGUGUGAAGAAGGCCUUUUGGUUGUAAAGCACUUUAAGCGAGGAGGAGGCUACCUGGAUUAAUACUCUAGGAUAGUGGACGUUACUCGCAGAAUAAGCACCGGCUAACUCUGUGCCAGCAGCCGCAGUAACAC
rnacentral:rRNA from 1 species